GAUGAACGCUGGCGGCGUGCCUAAUACAUGCAAGUCGAGCGAACAGACGAGGAGCUUGCUCCUCUGACGUUAGCGGCGGACGGGUGAGUAACACGUGGAUAACCUACCUAUAAGACUGGGAUAACUUCGGGAAACCGGAGCUAAUACCGGAUAAUAUAUUGAACCGCAUGGUUCAAUAGUGAAAGACGGUUUUGCUGUCACUUAUAGAUGGAUCCGCGCCGCAUUAGCUAGUUGGUAAGGUAACGGCUUACCAAGGCAACGAUGCGUAGCCGACCUGAGAGGGUGAUCGGCAACACGGGACCGGAGACACGGUCCAGACCCUAACGGGAGGCAGAAGAAGGGAAUCUUCCGCAAGGGGCGAAAGCUUGCCGGAGAAACGCCGCGGGAGGAAGGAAGGUCUGCGGUUCGUAAACCUUGUUUAUUAGGAAAGAACAAAUGGGUAAGUACCAAUGAACGCUUGGACGUUACUAAACCAGAAGGCCCCGGUAACUUACGG
rnacentral:rRNA from 1 species